rnacentral:pre_miRNA from 1 species
AUGGAGUUUUCUCUCUCCUAAUCCUGGAAUAGGGGUCAGACUGUACCCUUAGGAGAAGCAACAGAAAAUGGGACUACAUCAU